UAGGAUUAUGAAGGUAUAGUGAAUAGUUGUUUUUUUUUUCGUAUAUGGCUGCGGUUUGUGUCUGUGUCAGGUCAUCUAACAAAGCAAGAUAGGUUUAACUUUGUACCAAUUUUGUGUCGGAAGAUGACAAGAUUAGUUAAUAGACCUCCAUGGCAUUAUCUUCAUGGAACUCAUCUCUUCCAUGGAGUAGGUCUAUAGAGGUCACACAUCCACAUUAAUAUCUAUGUUCCAAUCAAUCUCUCUGGUCAAUAUUAUUACCAUUUUUCGAGUUCAUGAUUUUAAUUUCUUGUUGUUGAAUCUUGAAUUUACUGGUUUCUUAUGCCUGAGAAGAUUGGCAUUUUUUUUUUUGCAGUCAUCCUUAAAGCAAAUAGGUUAUAAUUUCAUCACCAAAUUUGUGUCGGAAGAUGACGACAUUGAUUUUGCCUCUCCAUGACAAUUUUAUUCAUUGAAAUCAUUCUCUUCAAUGGAGUAGAUUUGUGGAGGGGCACAUUAUUUUGCAUUCGAUUAAUGUGUUUGGGAUCAUUUUGAAUGCCUUAAACGUUAGUGUUUUUUUUUAAUCACUACAUGAUUUGAGAAGCCAGAAACAAGACAAACCGAGGUACCGGUGUCCAUUGAUACAGAGCAGUACAAUAGUUGUAACAAGUGAAAGGGUUUGUUAAAAUAUAAGAAUCGAACCGGCUUCGUAAUAUUUGUUUUUGCUGAUUAAGAUGAAUAAAUGUGAUGAAUUAUGAUGCACAUUUAAAAUUUUACAUUCGAUCUCGGAGAUCAGUCGAACAAACCACGGACUGAAUUUGCAAUGAUGAAAGAUUGACGAAAUUUUAAAAUCUGAAUUUGGCAGUUUCAAUUGGUUAUUUGGUCGAAUGUUCUGGUCCGGACUUGGUUAUCUAGAUACUCCUCCUAACUUGUCAAAUCACGGGGUGAUAUAAUUAUUUCUAUUAGUCUACGCGUAACAAAAUAUUAAUUUUAAUGGGAGAAACAAUAUUACGCGGGGGAAAAGUAAACGAACACGGACCAGACGACGUAUAAGCCG
rnacentral:lncRNA from 1 species